AGUCCAUAUCGACGGCAGUGUUUGGCACCUCGAUGUCGGCUCAUCUCAUCCUGGGGCUGGAGCAGGUCCCAAGGGUACGGCUGUUCGCCGUUUAAAGAGGUACGUGAGCUGGGUUUAGAACGUCGUGAGACAGUUCGGUCCCUAUCUGCCGUGGGUGUAGGAUACUUGAGAGGAGUUGCCCCUAGUACGAGAGGACCGGGGUGAACGAACCACUGGUGGACCAGUUGUCGUGCCAACGGCAGUGCUGGGUAGCUAUGUUCGGACAGGAUAACCGCUGAAGGCAUCUAAGCGGGAAGCCCCCCUCAAAACAAGGUAUCCCUGAGGGCCGAGGUAGACCACCUCGUCAAUAGGCCAGAGAUGUAAGCGUGGUAACACGUUCAGUUGACUGGUACUAAUCGCCCGAUUGGCUUGAUC
rnacentral:rRNA from 1 species